GACGAACGCUGGCGGCGUGCUUAACACAUGCAAGUCGAACGGAAAGGCCCUGCUUUUGUGGGGUGCUCGAGUGGCGAACGGGUGAGUAACACGUGAGUAACCUGCCCUUGACUUUGGGAUAACUUCAGGAAACUGGGGCUAAUACCGGAUAGGAGCUCCUGCUGCAUGGUGGGGGUUGGAAAGUUUCGGCGGUUGGGGAUGGACUCGCGGCUUAUCAGCUUGUUGGGGGGGUAGUGGCUUACCAAGGCUUUGACGGGUAGCCGGCCUGAGAGGGUGACCGGCGACAUUGGGACUGAGAUACGGCCCAGACUCCUACGGGAGGCAGCAGUGGGGAAUAUUGCACAAUGGGCGGAAGCCUGAUGCAGCAACGCCGCGUGCGGGAUGACGGCCUUCGGGUUGUAAACCGCUUUCGCCUGUGACGAAGCGUGAGUGACGGUAAUGGGUAAAGAAGCACCGGCUAACUACGUG
rnacentral:rRNA from 1 species